GAGGUCUUAGCUUAAUUAAAGUGUCUGAGUUGCAGUCAGGGGAUGUGGUUGACUUCCACAGGCCUUC
rnacentral:tRNA from 1 species